rnacentral:rRNA from 1 species
UGGGGAAUAUUGCGCAAUGGGCGAAAGCCUGACGCAGCCACGCCGCGUGAGUGAUGAAGGCCUUCGGGUUGUAAAGCUCUGUCGGGAGGGACGAAAGGCCGCAAGGCCCUGACGGUACCUCGCAAGAAAGCACCGGCUAACUCUGUGCCAGCAGCCGCGGUAAUACAGAGGGUGCAAGCGUUGCUCGGAUUUACUGGGCGUAAAGCGUACGCAGACGGCCACGCAGGUCGGGUGUGAAAGCCCCGGGCUCAACCCGGGAAUUGCAUUCGAAACCAUGUGGCUCGAGUGUGGGAGAGGGUAGUGGAAUUCCUGGUGUAGAGGUGAAAUUCGUAGAUAUCAGGAGGAACACCGGCGGCGAAGGCGGCUACCUGGUCCACAACUGACGUUCAGGUACGAAAGCGUGGGGAGCAAACAGGAUUAGAUACCCCGGUAGUCC